GGGCGUGUAGCUCAGUGGUAGAACAUCUCCUUUGCAUGCAGAAGGUCCCAGGUUCAAUCCCUGGCAUUUCCU